rnacentral:lncRNA from 9 species
GAUGUGUCCUGAGAACUAUUCUUCUCGCGCCUUAAGAAAACGCAGUUUCCAAAGAGGCUUUUCUCCAGGCAAGACCCCCGGCUCAGAUACAUUUCAGAUUUCUGCACACACCUCCUGCCUGCAUUUUCUCGAGACGCUUCCUUGAACCUGUACCGCCAGCACCUCUGUCUCUCAUGUUCCUGCCGGCAGCUGUGCCUGGUUCUCCCUGUGGUCAGAAAGGCCCCGGCCUCCCUCCGGCAGAAAAAAAAAAAAGAAAAAUCUUCAUCAAUCAUGGAGUCUGGGUGGCAGAAGAGGCAAAAUUGUGAAAGGGCCAAGAGCCAGGUUCUGAGCACCAGAUGUGCCUGGCUACGGCAACUGUGGCUGGCCAGCCUGCCGAGUGACUGCCCCAUCUUGCUUGAGCAGUAAAAGGAGCAGCUGAACUGACUGCUGAGUGAGUAUUCUAAGAGCCUGGUACGUCUCAGGCUUGCAGCUUUAGCGGGUCAGUACGUGGGGUGCAGGGGCCACGGAG